UGUUGGUCUAUGUAGAUUA
rnacentral:tRNA from 1 species